UACGUAGGGCGCAAGCGUUGUCCGGAAUUAUUGGGCGUAAAGAGCUCGUAGGCGGUUUGUCGCGUCUGCUGUGAAAUCCCGAGGCUCAACCUCGGGCUUGCAGUGGGUACGGGCAGACUAGAGUGCGGUAGGGGAGACUGGAAUUCCUGGUGUAGCGGUGGAAUGCGCAGAUAUCAGGAGGAACACCGAUCGGCGAAGGCAGGU
rnacentral:rRNA from 1 species